rnacentral:sRNA from 1 species
GGUAGAUAGCGGUCCUGGACUGAAUCGGCCUUAUGAACCCGCGCUUUCCCCAGCCUCCAGCCUAGCAUACUGACACCUACCCCCACCCCAACCUGAUCGCCAGACCUCAGGGUUUUCCAGAGCUGAAGAAUGACACAUUCCUGCGAGCAGCCUGGGGAGAGGAAACAGACUACACUCCCGUUUGGUGCAUGCGCCAGGCAGGCCGUUACUUACCAGCCACUGCGUCGCUUCCCUCUGGAUGCUGCCAUCAUUUUCUCCGACAUCCUUGUUGUACCCCAGGCACUGGGCAUGGAGGUGACCAUGGUACCUGGCAAAGGACCCAGCUUCCCAGAGCCAUUAAGAGAAGAGCAGGACCUAGAAUGCCUACGGGAUCCAGAAGUGGUAGCCUCUGAGCUAGACUAUGUGUUCCAAGCCAUCACCCUUACCCGACAACGACUGGCUGGACGUGUGCCGCUGAUUGGCUUUGCUGGUGCCCCAUGGACCCUGAUGACAUACAUGGUUGAGGGUGGUGGCUCAAGCACCAUGGCUCAGGCCAAGCGCUGGCUCUAUCAGAGACCUCAGGCUAGUCACCAGCUGCUUCGCAUCCUCACUGAUGCUCUGGUCCCAUAUCUGGUAGGACAAGUGGCGGCUGGUGCCCAGGCAUUGCAGCUGUUUGAGUCCCAUGCAGGGCAUCUUGGCCCACAGCUCUUCAGCAAGUUUGCACUGCCCUACAUCCGUGAUGUGGCCAAGCAAGUGAAGGCCAGGUUGCGGGAGGCAGGUCUGGCACCAGUGCCCAUGAUCAUCUUUGCUAAGGAUGGGCAUUUUGCCCUGGAGGAGCUGGCCCAAGCUGGCUAUGAGGUGGUUGGGCUUGACUGGAC